rfam:Hordeum vulgare subsp. vulgare, WGS project CAJW01000000 data, contig: morex_contig_50900
AUAGUACUCCCUCUGUCCGAAAAUACUUUUCAUAGGAAUGGAUGUAUCUAGAUGUNNUUUAGUUCUAGAUACAUCCAUUUGUGCGACAAGUAUUUUCGUACGGAGGGAGUAAUAG